UACGGGAGGCAGCAGUGAGGAAUAUUGGUCAAUGGACGAGAGUCUGAACCAGCCAAGUAGCGUGCAGGAUGACGGCCCUAUGGGUUGUAAACUGCUUUUAUCAGGGGAUAAAGUGCGGCACGCGUGCCGUUUUGUAGGUACCUGAUGAAUAAGGACCGGCUAAUUCCGUGCCAGCAGCCGCGGUAAU
rnacentral:rRNA from 1 species